rnacentral:siRNA from 1 species
UCGCAGGCAGCCAUUGACGAGC